rnacentral:rRNA from 1 species
AUAGGUUUGGUCCCAGCCUUCCUGUUAACUCUCAACAGACUUACACAUGCAAGCAUCCACGCCCCGGUGAGUAACGCCCUCCAAAUCAAUAAGACUAAGAGGAGCAGGUAUCAAGCACACAUCUUGUAGCUUACAACGCCUCGCUUAACCACACCCCUACGGGAGACAGCAGUGACAAAAAUUAAGCCAUAAACGAAAGUUUGACUAAGCCAUGUUGACCAGGGUUGGUAAAUCUCGUGCCAGCCACCGCGGUCAUACGAUUAACCCAAGCUAACAGGAAUACGGCGUAAAACGUGUUAAAGCACUACAUCAAAUAGAGUUAAAUUCUAAUUAAACUGUAAAAAGCCAUAAUUACAACAAAAAUAGAUGACGAAAGUAACCCUACUGCAGCUGAUACACUAUAGCUAAGACCCAAACUGGGAUUAGAUACCCCACUAUGCUUAGCCCUAAACACAAAUAAUUACAGAAACAAAAUUAUUCGCCAGAGUACUACCGGCAACAGCCCGAAACUCAAAGGACUUGGCGGUGCUUUAUACCCUUCUAGAGGAGCCUGUUCUAUAAUCGAUAAACCCCGAUAAACCUCACCAAUCCUUGCUAAUACAGUCUAUAUACCG